UACGGAGGAUGCGAGCGUUAUCCGGAUUUAUUGGGUUUAAAGGGUGUGCAGGCGGUCUGUUAAGUCAGCGGUCAAAGCCCGGGGCUCAACCCCGGCCCGCCGUUGAAACUGGCAGUCUCGAGUUGGAGAGAAGUAUGCGGAAUGCGCGGUGUAGCGGUGAAAUGCAUAGAUAUCGCGCAGAACUCCGAUUGCGAAGGCAGCAUGCCGGCUCCACACUGACGCUGAGGCACGAAAGCGUGGGUAUCGAACAGG
rnacentral:rRNA from 1 species